ensembl:snRNA U6 U6 spliceosomal RNA
GUGCUGGCUUCAGCAGCAUAUAAACACUAAAAUUGGAAUGAUACAGAGAAGAUUAACAUGGCCCCUGGGCAAGGAUAACAUGCAAAUUCAUGAAGCGUUCCAUAUUUUA